rnacentral:rRNA from 1 species
GACGAACCGUGCAAACGUUGUUCGGAAUCACUGGGCUUAAAGGGCGCGUAGGCGGGCCAGCCAGUCUGUGGUGAAAGCCUCCAGCUUAACUGGAGAAGUGCCGUGGAUACUGCUGGCCUCGAGGAGGGUAGGGGCAUCUGGAACGGUCGGUGGAGCGGUGAAAUGCGUUGAUAUCGACCGGAACUCCGGUGGCGAAGGCGAGGUGCUGGGCCCUUUCUGACGCUGAGUGCGCGAAAGCCAGGGGAGCAAAGCGGG